CAUCAAAUCUAUUGUUUUGUCAGAAGAUAAUGGAACAAAAUCGGUUUUGACUACUUCAAUUGAAAAGUUAAAAAAAGAAGUCAACACUUUUUUGACAGAAUGCAUUGAGAAAAACAGAAUAGAAUCAUCUGAUGCUCAAAGUACAUUCUGACAAUUGAUGAAGAAGAACUAGAUAGUGAAGAUGAAACCAUCAGUGAAGGUGAUACAUCUCUAAGACCAAACAAGGUUCCUAAGUUGGUCUAAUGCCUGGUUAUCUUUGUCUAAUAUGUCCUCAUUGGUGUGUAAUGAAUCAUGGAAAAAUUGAAAAAUAUACAUAUAUUUCUGGGUAUUUUUAUUUAAUAAUUUGUUUUUCUCUUUUUCCUGUGCUUGAAAAGAUUCCCAUGUGAAUACACUUUCAUUGUAGUACUUAUUUUGGCAAUUUAGCAACACAGGGAAGGGAAGGGAGAGAGAAUCGAGUUCACAUCUGGCAUCGCUGUUCGUCCAUUUUAUCCGCCAUUCUGUGAGGUUCUUCUUUCGGCAAGGCACGUACAUCAAUAUCCUUGUUUCCCAAAAAUGUUGGUCGCUCGCAAAGUUCUUUCCCUGACAAAAUCCCUCGCCGGAACAAAUGGAUUCCAGUUGCGAACAUCAGCCAUUUCUGGCCCUGCCCGUGUGAAAGUCCCGGCUGCGG